GAUGCACUUGGUAUUCCGUCGAGGAGGAGGAGCCCUUCUGAGGAGGACCAGCUUUUUGAGGAACUGAUGGAAGAGGGACGAUUGGAUGAGGAGAGGCUUCGUUUGAUAGAUGAGAGCGUGCGUGCGGCCGAGGAGGAGCUGAGGCUACUGAGAGAGGAGACAGAG